UACGUAGGGUGCAAGCGUUGUCCGGAAUUAUUGGGCGUAAAGAGCUCGUAGGCGGUUCGUCACGUCGGCUGUGAAAUCCCGAGGCUCAACCUCGGGUCUGCAGUCGAUACGGGCGGACUGGAGUACUGCAGGGGAGACUGGAAUUUACGGUGUAGCAGUGAAAUGCGUAGAUAUCGUAAGGAAGACCAGUGGCGAAGGCGGAUCUCUGGACAGUUACUGACACUGAGGCACGAAGGCCAGGGGAGCAAACGGG
rnacentral:rRNA from 1 species